rnacentral:rRNA from 1 species
GAUUAGAGUUUGAUCAUGGCCCAGAUUGAACGCUGGGCGGCAUGCCUUACACAUCCAAGUCGAACGGCAGCAUGGAGGAGCUUGCCCCUCUGAUGGCGAGUGGCGAACGGGUGAGUAAAGCAUCGGAACGUACCGUGUAGUGGGGGAUAACGUAGCGAAAGUUACGCUAAUACCGCAUACGCACUGAGGUGGAAAGCAGGGGAUCGCAAGACCUUGCGCUAUACGAGCGGCCGAUGUCAGAUUAGCUAGUUGGUAGGGUAAAGGCCUACCAAGGCGACGAUCUGUAGCGGGUCUGAGGGGAUGAUCCGCCACACUGGGACUGAGACACGGCCCAGACUCCUACGGGAGGCAGCAGUGGGGAAUUUUGGACAAUGGGGGAAACCCUGAUCCAGCCAUGCCGCGUGAGUGAAGAAGGCCUUCGGGUUGUAAAGCUCUUUCGGCUGGGAAGAAAUCGCACAGGCUAAUACUCUGUGUGGAUGACGGUACCAGCAUAGAAGC